AGAAAGUUAGUUAAAUGAAUAACAUGGGUCUGUCAGUCCUACAUUGUGACCCCCUAGUCACACCUUCUU
rnacentral:tRNA from 1 species